rnacentral:rRNA from 1 species
ACAAUGAAGCGUGUGAUCCUGGCUCAGGAUGAACGCUAGCGACAGGCCUAACACAUGCAAGUCGAGGGGCAUCGGGGUGGCAACACCGCCGGCGACCGGCGCACGGGUGCGUAACGCGUAUGCAACCUGUAGCACAGAGGGGGAUAGCCCGCCGAAAGGCGGAUUAAUACCCCGUAAC